UGUGCAGGCGGACUGGCGGGUCCAUGGUGAAAGCUCACGGCUUAACCGGGAAACUGCUGUGGAAACUACCAGUCUAGAGGGCGGAAGAGGAAACUGGAACUUCCGGUGUAGCGGUAAAAUGCGUAGAUAUCGGAAGGAACGCCGAUAGCGAAGGCAGGUUUCUGGGACGCCCCUGACGCUGAAACACGAAAGCUAGGGGAGCAAACAGGAUUAGAUACCCUGGUAGUCCUAGCUGUAAACGAUGUACAUUAGGCGUGGGGAGUUUUUCCCGUGCCGGAGCCAACGCGUUAAAUGUACCGCCUGGGGACUACGGCCGCAAGGUUGAA
rnacentral:rRNA from 1 species